CUAUCAACCCAAGAAAGAACUCUUCUUCCUUUCAUGCCUGAGAAGAACCUUUCUUCUUUUUCUUCCACAUGCAAGAGAAAUUUUUUUGCUUCUAUUUCCAUGCCUCCAAAGAGGAACUCUUCCUCCCACGACAAGAGGAACUAUUCAUCUCUUUUUCUCACAUUUAGAAAGAUCUGAUUUUUAUUUCAAAUUUCCCAUGUUAAAACCUCCUUACACACCCACACCCAAAACCUCCCUUUUAAAUAGGCAUUGGAAUAG
rnacentral:lncRNA from 1 species